rnacentral:rRNA from 1 species
AGAGUUUGAUCAUGGCUCAGAUUGAACGCUGGCGGCAUGCUUUACACAUGCAAGUCGAACGGUAACGCGGGGGCAACCCUGGCGACGAGUGGCGAACGGGUGAGUAAUACAUCGGAACAUGUCCUGGAGUGGGGGAUAGCUCGGCGAAAGCCGGAUUAAUACCGCAUACGCUCUGAGGAGGAAAGCGGGGGACCUGGUAACGGGCCUCGCGCUGCGGGAGUGGCCGAUGUCGGAUUAGCUAGUUGGUGAGGUAAAGGCUCACCAAGGCGACGAUCCGUAGCUGGUCUGAGAGGAUGAUCAGCCACACUGGGACUGAGACACGGCCCAGACUCCUACGGGAGGCAGCAGUGGGGAAUUUUGGACAAUGGGGGCAACCCUGAUCCAGCCAUGCCGCGUGAGUGAAGAAGGCCUUCGGGUUGUAAAGCUCUUUCGGACGGAACGAAAUGGUUACGGAUAAUACCUGUGACUGAUGACGGUACUGUAAGAAGAAGCACCGGCUAACUACGUGCCAGCAGCCGCGGUAAUACGUAGGGUGCGAGCGUUAAUCGGAAUUACUGGGCAAAGCGUGCGCAGGCGGUUCGCCAAGUCAGGUGUGAAAUCCCCGGGCUUAACCUGGGAAUUGCGCUUGAAACUAGCGGGCUUGAGUGUGGCAGAGGGGGGUGGAAUUCCACGUGUAGCAGUGAAAUGCGUAGAGAUGUGGAGGAACACCGAUGGCGAAGGCAGCCCCCUGGGUCAACACUGACGCUCAUGCACGAAAGCGUGGGGAGCAAACAGGAUUAGAUACCCUAGUAGUCC